rnacentral:rRNA from 1 species
GACGAACGCUGGCGGCGUGCUUAACACAUGCAAGUCGAACGGUGACCCUGGAGCUUGCUCCGGGCGAUCAGUGGCGAACGGGUGAGUAACACGUGAGUAACCUGCCCCAGACUCUGGGAUAACCUCGGGAAACCGUGGCUAAUACCGGAUAUGAGACGCUUCUGCAUGGAAUGCGUCUGGAAAGAUUUAUCGGUCUGGGAUGGACUCGCGGCCUAUCAGCUUGUUGGUGAGGUAAUGGCUCACCAAGGCGACGACGGGUAGCCGGCCUGAGAGGGCGACCGGCCACACUGGAACUGAGACACGGUCCAGACUCCUACGGGAGGCAGCAGUGGGGAAUAUUGCACAAUGGGCGCAAGCCUGAUGCAGCAACGCCGCGUGAGGGACGACGGCCUUCGGGUUGUAAACCUCUUUUAGCAGGGAAGAAGCGAAAGUGACGGUACCUGCAGAAAAAGCACCGGCUAACUACGUGC